GAUGAACGCUGGCGGCGUGCCUAGUACAUGCAAGUCGAGCGAACAGACGAGGAGUUUGCUCCUCUGACGUUAGCGGCGGACGGGUGAGUAACACGUGGAUAACCUACCUAUAAGACUGGGAUAACUUCGGGAAACCGGAGCUAAUACCGGAUAAUAUAUUGAACCGCAUGGUUCAAUAGUGAAAGACGGUUUUGGUGUCACUUAUAGAUGGAUCCGCGGCGCAUUAGCUAGUUGGUAAGGUAACGGCUUACCAAGGCGACGAUGCGUAGCCGACCUGAGAGGGGAAGCAGCCGAACUGGGACUGAGAGAGGGACCAGACUCCUACGGGAGGAAGCGGUGGGGAAUAUUGCACAAUGGGCGCAAGCGAGAUGCAGAAACGCCGGGAGGGGGAUGACGGCCUUCGGGUUGUAAACAUAUUGUAGUAGGGAAGAAGCGGAAGUGACGGUACCUGCAGAAAAAGCAACGGAUAACUACGUG
rnacentral:rRNA from 1 species